CAAUAAUUGCAUUGUAGCGGGUACAACGUCGACUAUAACCCCUAGCCUUCCAAGCUAACGAUGCGGGUUCG
rnacentral:tRNA from 1 species